rnacentral:rRNA from 1 species
UGCAAGUCGAACGGUAACAGGAAGUGCUUGCACUUCGCUGACGAGUGGCGGACGGCUGAGUAAUGCUUGGGAACUUGCCUUUGCGAGGGGGAUAACAGUUGGAAACGACUGCUAAUACCGCAUAAUGUCUUCGGACCAAACGGGGCUUCGGCUCCGGCGCAAAGAGAGGCCCAAGUGAGAUUAGCUAGUUGGUAAGGUAACGGCUUACCAAGGCGACGAUCUCUAGCUGUUCUGAGAGGAAGAUCAGCCACACUGGGACUGAGACACGGCCCAGACUCCUACGGGAGGCAGCAGUGGGGAAUAUUGCACAAUGGGGGAAACCCUGAUGCAGCCAUGCCGCGUGUGUGAAGAAGGCCUUCGGGUUGUAAAGCACUUUCAGUUGUGAGGAAAAGUUAGUAGUUAAUACCUGCUAGCCGUGACGUUAACAACAGAAGAAGCACCGGCUAACUCCGUGCCAGCAGCCGCGGUAAUACGGAGGGUGCGAGCGUUAAUCGGAAUUACUGGGCGUAAAGCGCACGCAGGCGGUUUGUUAAGCUAGAUGUGAAAGCCCCGGGCUCAACCUGGGAUGGUCAUUUAGAACUGGCAGACUAGAGUCUUGGAGAGGGGAGUGGAAUUCCAGGUGUAGCGGUGAAAUGCGUAGAUAUCUGGAGGAACAUCAGUGGCGAAGGCGACUCCCUGGCCAAAGACUGACGCUCAUGUGCGAAAGUGUGGGUAGCGAACAGGAUUAGAUACCCUGGUAGUCCACACCGUAAACGCUGUCUACUAGCUGUGUGUGCCUUUAAGGCGUGCGU